AGAGUUUGAUCCUGGCUCAGAACGAACGCUGGCGGCGUGCUUAACACAUGCAAGUCGAACGAGAAAGUUUCCUUCGGGAAGCGAGUAGAGUGGCGCACGGGUGAGUAACGCGUAGGUAAUCUAUCCUAAUAUUUGGGAUAACAUCGGGAAACUGGUGCUAAUACCGGAUACCCUUCUUUGCUGCUGGGCAAAGGAGGAAAGGUGGCCUCUUCAUGAAAGCUACCGUAUAAGGAUGAGCCUGCGUACCAUUAGCUAGUAGGUGGGGUAAUGGCCCACCUAGGCAACGAUGGUUAGCGGGUCUGAGAGGAUGAUCCGCCACACUGGAACUGGAACACGGACCAGACUCCUACGGGAGGCAGCAGUGAGGAAUAUUGCGCAAUGGGGGAAACCCUGACGCAGCGACGCCGCGUGAGUGAGGAAGGUUUUCGGAUCGUAAAGCUCUGUCAGAAGGGAAGAAGUGUUAUAUGGUUAAUACCCGUAUAAUUUGACGGUACCUUCAGAGGAAGCACCGGCUAACUCCGUGCCAGCAGCCGCGGUAAUACGGAGGGUGCAAGCGUUGUUCGGAAUUACUGGGCGUAAA
rnacentral:rRNA from 1 species